CUAUGUGUAUCAGGGCAGGUCUAUGUGUAUCAGGGCAGGUCUAUGUGUAUCAGGGCAGGUCUAUGUGUAUCAGGGCAGGUCUAUGUGUAUAAGGGCAGGUCUAUGUGUAUAAGGGCAGGUCUAUGUGUAUAAGGGCAGGUCUAUGUGUAUCAGGGCAGGUCUAUGUGUAUCAGGGCAGGUCUAUGUGUAUCAGGGCAGGUCUAUGUGUAUCAGGGCAGGUCUAUGUGUAUAAGGGCAGGUCUAUGUGUAUCAGGGCAGGUCUAUGUGUAUCAGGGCAGGUCUAUGUGUAUCAGGGCAGGUCUAUGUGUAUCAGGGCAGGUCUAUGUGUAUCAGGGCAGGUCUAUGUGUAUAAGGGCAGGUCUAUGUGUAUCAGGGCAGGUCUAUGUGUAUCAGGGCAGGUCUAUGUGUAUAAGGGCAGGUCUAUAUGUAUAAGGGCAGGUCUAUGUGUAUAAGGGCAGGUCUAUGUGUAUAAGGGCAGGUCUAUGUGUAUAAGGGCAGGUCUAUGUGUAUCAGGGCAGGUCUAUGUGUAUAAGGGCAGGUCUAUGUGUAUCAGGGCAGGUCUAUGUGUGUAUCAGGGCAGGUCUAUGUGUGUAUCAGGGCAGGUCUAUGUGUAUCAGGGCAGGUCUAUGUGUAUCAGGGCAGGUCUAUGUGUAUCAGGGCAGGUCUAUGUGUAUCAGGGCAGGUCUAUGUGUAUCAGGGCAGGUCUAUGUGUAUAAGGGCAGGUCUAUGUGUAUCAGGGCAGGUCUAUGUGUGUAUCAGGGCAGGUCUAUGUGUAUCAGGGCAGGUCUAUGUGUAUCAGGGCAGGUCUAUGUGUAUAAGGGCAGGUCUAUGUGUAUCAGGGCAGGUCUAUGUGUAUAAGGGCAGGUCUAUGUGUAUCAGGGCAGGUCUAUGU